rnacentral:lncRNA from 1 species
GAUUGGGCUCAGGGUGGUAGAUAAAUUAACCUCUGUCCCUUCUUUGGCCGCAAAUUGCACAUCUAUUCCCUAGCCAUUCGACUCAAGGGGAAGUGGGAAAAAGAACAAGGAUGGAUAAACAUAAAUAUGCUCAAGGCUGGUCUCCGUGACCAAGAUAAUAUAACAAAGAUACUCUAGUAGUCCUUUAAAGAGGCCAUAUGGAGAAAAAUUGAGGUCUUCUGCAAAGACCCAGCACCAACUUGCCAGCUAUGUGAAAGAGCCGCUUUUGAGGUAGAUUCUCUAUCCUAAUCAAGCUUUCAGAUGACUGCAGUCCUUCCUGGCUGACAUCUUGACUGCAGCCUUCUUAGAGGCACUAAGCCAGAACUGCCUGCCAAGUCCCUCCCAAAUUCUUGUUUCAAGAAAGCUGUGAGAAAUAAUUAUUGUUGUUUUAAGUCAUUAAUUUUUGAGGUAAUUUGUUACAUAGCAAUAGAUAACUGAUACACUUUUUAGAGAGCUGUCUUUUCAUGUUUUUAUAUUAAAAUAGUUUUUCCUCCUUUUUUUUUUUUUUGCUGUUCUUAGUAGCUUUAUAAUAAUAAGCAGUAAGUUUUGUUCAUUAAGGUAAUUUCACUGCCCUCUCUACAUAUACCUUGGUCAUCUUCAAGAUUAUCUCGACUGAUCUUGACCUUUUGCUCCUUUUUUUUUUUUAAUUAAAAAAUUUCUUUUUCCAAGACAAACUUUGGCCGUUCACCUUUUGCUCACUCUUAUACUAAAAUGUAUUAUCUUGUGAAAGUUCAUCUUGUGAAAGUUCAUUUUAAAAACUUAUUAAGCUGUGUGUGGUGGUACAUACCUGUAGUCCCAGCUACUCAGGAGGCUGAGGCAGGAGGAUGGCUUGAGCCUAGGAGUUUGAAGCUGUAAUGUGCUGUGAUUGCACUUGGGAAUAGCAACUGUACUCCAGCCUGGGCAACACAGAGAGACGCCGCCAUCUCUUUAAAAAAGAACAGAAAAACAACAACAAAAAACCUGUCAGUGUUUUUGUUGGAAUUGCUUUGAAUAUGUAAAUUAAUUUGGGAGAAAAUGUCUUUAUUGUGUCUGCCUAUUUAUAAACAUGGUAUGCCUCCACAUUUUCUUAAGUCCAAAAAUGUUUUUGAGUGUAUAUUUUGAGACGGAGUCUCACUUUGUUGCCCAGGCUGGAGUGCAAUGGCACGAUCUCUGCUCACUGCAACCUCCGACUCCCAGGUUCAAGCAAUUCUCCUGCCUCAGCCUCCCAAGUAGCUGGGAUUAGAGGCGCCCACCACCAUGUCUGGCUCAUUUUUGAAUUUUUAGUAGAGACAGGAUUUCACCAUGUUGCCCAGGCUGGUCUUGAACUUCUGAUUCUGAGCUCAAGUGAUCUGCCUGCCUGGGCCUCCCAAAGUGCUGGGAUUACAGGUGUGAGCCACCGUGCCCGACCUAUUUUUUAAAUGUCUCAAGUAUACUGAUUUCAUAUUUAUAUUUGAUAAUUCCAUUAUCUGAUGUUCUUGAUGUCUUAUUUUACUACUUGCUUCUGCCUGCUCAUUUGUUGUGGGUGGUGUCCUCCUGUGUUUUAUAGUUUUAGACAGUGAGCCUGUUCACCAGGGCUUUAUGAAAUCUGCCAGACUGGUUUUAGGGAACAAGCUUCCAAAGGGUAUUUUGCAUUUGCUUCUGUCAGGUGCCACCAACACAGAAAUUACUGAAGCAGACUUUUAGUUUACUAUAUCUUAGUAUUGUCAGAUGUUGAUUUAGCGUUUACCUUAUAGGCUGGCUUGUAUUUAGAAAUUCUCAGAAUUAUACACAAUGUGGGUGUGGGGGAAAAAAAAAAGGGAAUUCUCAGGAGAAAAAUUUUUUCCUUACCCCGAACCCAGACAGUGACAGAUUUCUUCAUUUCCAUGCUGUUGGUCAGAUUGUUUUUUUAAUUUCACUGUUCUUUGCUUAUGCACCCUAAUAACUGAGGUUGUAAUCGUUCAAGUCAGUUUUAGGAAGAUGAGUCUUGAUCUAAUUAAUACUUUACACAGGCCCUAGGCCCCCAUGUCUUCCCCAUUCUUUGUUUACGCCCUUGUUUGUACAUCCUAAAGAAGACUCACUAAGAGUAUAAUUUCUGAGCCUUUGCAUUUUUGAAGUUUUCUUUAUUCUACUCCCUUCUUAAAUGAUAGCUUGGCUGGAUAUGAAAUUCUGGGUUAAAACUUUUUUCCUCAGAACUUUUGAGGCAUCUCUUCCAGUGUCUUAAAUCAGUGUUGCUGAUGCUACUCUGAUUUUACUCCUUUGUACAACCCCAGUUGGGUUUCAUUUGUUUAUUUACCUCUUCUUGAGAUCUUUUUAUCUUUUAUGUCUUGGGUCUCUUCAUCUAUUUAUUAAUUGUUUUGAAAUAUAGUGAUAUGCUUCUUUUUUUUUCUAAAAGUUUCUAAAAGUUCAUUAUGCUUUUUCAUUUAGUCUUGUAAUAUUCAUUUAUAGUAAGAGAACUUUACAUUUUUUUCAGAAGGUCCUUCACCACUUCCCACUCUUGUUGAACUAUUACUAUUUGGAUGUUGGCUCUCCUAGGUUCAUAUUCUCUGCUGUCUUUCUAGUUUCCUUCCCUUUGUUUUCUUGCUCCACUGACAUUCUGAAAGAUCUCCUUGUCCUUGUCUCUAACCCUUUUAUCCAAUUUAUUAAUUACAUUGUACAUUUCUUUCUUUUUUUUUUGAGAUGGAGUCUCAUUCUGUCACCCAGACUGGAUGGCUCACUACAACCUCUGCCUCCCUGGGUCAAGCGAUUCUUGUACCUCAGCCUGCCGAGGAGCUGGAACUACAGGCGCAUGCCACCACACCUGGCUAAUUUUUUUGUAUUUUUAGUAGAGACGAGUUUCACCAUGUUGGCCAGGCUGGUCUGGANNNNNNNNNNNNNNNNNNNNNNNNNNNNNNNNNNNNNNNNNNNNNNNNNNNNUGGGAUUACAGGCGUGAGCCACCGCACCUGGCCUACAUGGUACAUUUCUAAGAGCUUCCUUGCUUAGGUUGUAUUUUUAUAAGAUUCUAUUCUUUUUCUGUGGACUUAAUAUCUUCUUUCUCUGAGGAUACAAAUGUUUUUCUUCCCCAGGCAAAAUAUGUAUUUUACUUUAUUUUUUAUUUGACUUUUUACUUUUGAAACAUUUCAGGUAUACUGAUUCCUUAUUUAUAUUUGGUAAUUCCAUUAUAUAACUUUUUUUUUUUUUUUUUUUUUUUUUUGAGACAGAGUCUCAGUCUGUCGCCCAGGCUGGAGUGCCAGGAGUGCAAUCUCAGCUUUAUGUAACCACCACUCUUGGAUUCAAGAGAUUCUCCUGCCUCAUCCUUUGGAGGAGCUGGAAUGUACAUACGCGGACCACUGCCCAGUUAUUUUUAUAUAACAAUUUUGACACCCCAUUAUACCGCUGGCAUCAGCCAACUCUUGUUAAACAUCGAUACCCUUUAUCAUCCGUUGUACGUAUUUAUUCCUUAAGACCAUUUGAUGAUAAUAGGUUGUCACUACCUUCAUACUAUGCCGGGAUGUUCCCCCACUUUCAGGAUGAGUGACAUUUUUAGAAGAACUAUUUCGAGCUUUAGAGAGACGACCUGCUCAUUGUAGACAAUGUAAUAGAAAAAACCCUAGAGAAGAUGAGCAUCGCCACCAUGAGACGACUAUUCUUAGCAUUUGAUUCUUCUUUGCCGCUACAUAAUUAUGGAUUUAUCUAUAAUCCGUACGUCAACUGGAUUUGCAUGCACUUUGAGGUCUGUAAAAAAUGAUGCCAACCUUAUU